UGCUUAAAGUUGUAAUUUUAAGUCUAUCCCUGCCCAGUGAUUUACUUUAACGGCCGCAGUACUUUGACUGUGCUAAGGUAGCAUAAUCAAUUGACUUUUAAUUAAAGUCUGGAAUGAAAGGGGGAAAGGGGGACAACCGUCUUAUCAAAUUUUUUUAAAAGUUGUUAACUAAGUGAAAAUACUUACUCAAAGAAAAAGGACGAGAAGACCCUAAGAAUUUUAAUAAAAUUACUUUGUUAGUAUUUUUUUUUGUUGGGGUGACAGUUAGUUAAUUAAACAUUACUUCUAAGUAAGACGAUCAUUAAGUAAAAAAAAAUUACCUUAGGGAUAACAGCAUAAUUUCUUUUAGAAGAUUGUGACCUCGAUGUUGGACUAGGGACUUUUAGAUAAGCUAUUCAAGGAGCAUGUUCUGUUCGAACGUUUUACCCU
rnacentral:rRNA from 1 species